rnacentral:lncRNA from 1 species
GUAGCCACGGUUCCAGGCGUCGCUCCUCUGGUUGUACGCUCUCUAGCUGCUCUAUGUAGUUUACGUAGAAUGCACAGAAAGACGAAUCGUAGUGGAAGCUGUGGAGUGCGAGAGGUCUUGGCGGAGCGCGCAUGCAGCAGCAGACGAGAAAUGGCACGAGUGUGGUGAUCAGCCAAGUAAACGUACUGCUGCGACAAGAGUGAGGCGACGACCGGCAAGACUGGCCCGUGGCCAGCGUCGUUUUCCUCCGUGGGCUUUGACGUCCCGCGAGUGUUGUCAUGUUGCCGCUCGGCAGCGGUGAGUCACCGGCGGCGACUACGGCAGCGGCGCGCGCUUUGGCCUGUCCAGCGACCUACUUACUCGGACACGACGUGGGCGGGACGCGCUGUCGAUAAGUAGGAAACUUCUCGUCCGAUGCGCCUGCGUGGGACAGCGUUUCACGACAAAGAUUCAGGCUGGAUUCUCACUGGUAUGUGCACAAGAUUAAGUGGCACCGUGCCAGAGCACUAUGCAACUAGCCCAGCUCUAAAGUGUGCCCACUGAUCCUGGCGCCAUGAGUGGUGAGGGCCUUCCGUUUACAACUGCCAAGCCCGAGGCUUCCGUGUUGCCCAUCCGACGUACAGCUCCAUCGCAGCAAGAUGUAUGUCCGCCUGUGCGGCUCCAAGCCCCAGGAGCAGGAAACCUGCCAAGGCCAAAAGGUGCGCAUUCUCUGCUCUCAAGAGGUUGCUGAACAUGUUCCAUUAAAUUGACCACAACUGGUUCUUACAUAAGAGGGAGCAAAAUACAGCAGGUCUGCUUCAUAACAA